AACGAACGCUGGCGGCGCGCCUAAUACAUGCAAGUCGAGCGAGAAGACGUAGCAAUACGUUUGUAAAGCGGCGAACGGGUGAGGAAUACAUGGGUAACCUACCCUCGAGUGGGGAAGUAACUAGCCGAAGGUUAGCUAAUACCGCGUACGCUCCUUGGACUUCGGUUCAGGGAGGGAAAGCGAUACCGUGGGUAGUCGCGCUCUUGGAUGGGCUCAUGUCCUAUCAGCUUGUUGGGAGGUAACGGCUCACCAAGGCUUCGACGGGUAGCUGGUCUGAGAGGACGAUCAGCCACACUGGCACUGCGACACGGGCCAGACUCCUACGGGAGGCAGCAGUAAGGAAUAUUGCGCAAUGGGCGAAAGCCUGACGCAGCGACGCCGCGUGGGGG
rnacentral:rRNA from 1 species